CGGCGGACGGGUGAGUAAUGCUUAGGAAUCUGCCUAUUAGUGGGGGACAACGUUCCGAAAGGAACGCUAAUACCGCAUACGUCCUACGGGAGAAAGCAGGGGACCUUCGGGCCUUGCGCUAAUAGAUGAGCCUAAGUCGGAUUAGCUAGUUGGUGGGGUAAAGGCCUACCAAGGCGACGAUCCGUAGCGGGUCUGAGAGGAUGAUCCGCCACACUGGGACUGAGACACGGCCCAGACUCCUACGGGAGGCAGCAGUGGGGAAUAUUGGACAAUGGGGGGAACCCUGAUCCAGCCAUGCCGCGUGUGUGAAGAAGGCCUUUUGGUUGUAAAGCACUUUAAGCGAGGAGGAGGCUACCUACAUUAAUACUUUAGGAUAUUGGACGUUACUCGCAAAAUAACCACCGGCUAACUCUGUGCCAGCACCCGCGGUAAUACAAAGGGUGCGAGCGUUAAUCGGAUUUACUGGGCGUAAAGCGUGCGUAGGCGGCCAAUUAAUUCAAAUGUGAAAUCCCCGAGCUUAACUUGGGAAUUGCAUUCGAUACUGGUUGGCUAGAGUAUGGGAGAGGAUGGUAAAAUUCCAGGUGUAGCGGUGAAAUGCGUAAAGAUCUGGAGGAAUACCGAUGGCGAAGGCAGCCAUCUGGCCUAAUACUGACGCUGAGGUACGAAAGCAUGGGGAGCAAACAGGAUUAGAUACCCUGGUAGUCCAUGCCGUAAACGAUGUCUACUAGCCGUUGGGGCCCUUGAGGCUUUAGUGGCGCAGCUAACGCGAUAAGUAGACCGCCUGGGGAGUACGGUCGCAAGACUAAAACUCAAAUGAAUUGACGGGGGCCCGCACAAGCGGUGGAGCAUGUGGUUUAAUUCGAUGCAACGCGAAGAACCUUACCUGGCCUUGACAUACAGAGAACUUUCCAGAGAUGGAUUGGUGCCUUCGGGAACUCUGAUACAGGUGCUGCAUGGCUGUCGUCAGCUCGUGUCGUGAGAUGUUGGGUUAAGUCCCGCAACGAGCGCAACCCUUUUCCUUAUUUGCCAGCACUUCGGGUGGGAACUUUAAGGAUACUGCCAGUGACAAACUGGAGGAAGGCGGGGACGACGUCAAGUCAUCAUGGCCCUUACGGCCAGGGCUACACACGUGCUACAAUGGUCGGUACAAAGGGUUGCCACACAGCGAUGUGAUGCUAAUCUCAAAAAGCCGAUCGUAGUCCGGAUUGGCAGUCUGCAACUCGACUCGCAGUGAAGUCGGAAUCGCU
rnacentral:rRNA from 1 species